rnacentral:rRNA from 1 species
AGAUUGAACGCUGGCGGCGUGCCUAACACAUGCAAGUCGAGCGGUAACAGGUGUAGCAAUACAUGCUGACGAGCGGCGAACGGGUGAGUAAUGCUUUGGAAUCUUCCCAGUAGUGGGGAAUAACCAGUCGAAAGAUUGGCUAAUACCGCAUACGUCUUUAAAGGGAAAGCGGGGGCUCGUAAGACCUCGCGCUAUUGGAUGAGCCAAAGUCGGAUUAGCUAGUUGGUGGGGUAAUGGCCUACCAAGGCGACAAUCCGUAGCUGGUCUGAGAGGACGACCAGCCACACCGGAACUGAGACACGGUCCGGACUCCUACGGGAGGCAGCAGUGGGGGAAUAUUGGACAAUGGGGGAAAUCCUGAUCCAGCGACGCCGCGUGUGUGAAGAAGGCCUGCGGGUUGUAAAGCACUUUUAGUGGGGACAAAAAGCUACGGACUAAGUAUUCUGUGGUCUUGAUUUAACCCAAAGAAAAGCACCGGCUAACUCUGCGCCAGCAGCCGCGGUAA